ensembl:lncRNA OLMALINC oligodendrocyte maturation-associated long intergenic non-coding RNA
UUUUCCUUUUUUUUUUUUUCCCGGGGAGUCGGCCUCGGGGCUCUGCUCUCCUACCUCAGUCUGCCCUACCCUGGAAUGGGGAAAAUGCGGACAUGCCACUCAGUCCGGCCGCGAACAGUGCUCCAGAACUCAGAGAGUUUUCCAGACGGGUGGAGAUCGCGUUCCCUGCCCGCCGAGGUCCCAUCGCUUCCCUGCUGGGAAGACAAAUGAGGCGCUUUAGCCGUCUCCACGGCCAGCCCCUCCCUCAUAACCCGAGAUUCUUUGUGGGCUCUUAGUCCAUAGCUGCCUUUGAGGUGGUGUAGACCUUGCUAACCAGGACGGCCCAGUAGGCAGAGCUCAUUUUUAUUCCUGUCUGCAAUCGUGCAAAAACGCCUCUUAUGGAAAAGCCAGAGCGCCAGGAGUCAGCAAAACACACUAAAGAUUGGGCAGUCACUGGGGAGAACGUGACCCGCCUGCACCCAGGUGAAAUAUACAGCCUUGUUGCUCACACAAAGCCUGUUUGGUGGUUUCUUCACACGGAUGCAUGUGACAUUUGGUGCUGAAGACCCAGGACAGGAGGACUCCUUUGGGAGACCAGUGCCCUGUUGUCGCCCUCACUCCGUGAGGAGAUCCACCUAUGAUCUCAGGUCCUCAGACCAACCAGCCCAAGGAACAUCUUGCCAAUUUCAAAUCGGAAGAUAGGAGUGUCAGGCCUCUGAGUCCAAGCUAAGCCAUCAAAUCCCCUGUGACCUGCACGUGUACAUCCAGAUGACCUGAAGCAACUGAAGAUCCACAAAAGAAGUGAAAGUAGCCUUAACUGAUGACAUUCCACCAUUGUGAUUUGUUCCUGCCCCACGCUAACUGAUACCAUAUAUUCUUCCCCCGCCCUUGAGAAUGUACUUUGUACACCUAUCCCAAACCUAUAAGAACUAAUGAUAAUCCUACCACCCUUUGCUGACUCUCUUUUUGGACUCAGCCCGCCUGCACCCAGGUGAAAUAAACAGCCCUGUUGCUCACACAAA